CCUUACAGUUGUAAAGUGUGUGGAAAACAGUUUAGAUGGAAGAGUCAAUUAAAACUACAUGAUAGAAUACACACUGGAGAGAAACCUUAUAGUUGUACAGUGUGUGAAAAACAGUUUGGAAAAAACAUGAAUUAAAAAUACAUGAAAGAAAACACACUGGGAAGAAACCUUAUAGUUGUACAGUGUGUGAAAAACAGUUUGCAACAAAGUAUAGCUUAAAAAUACACACUGGAGUGAAACCUUACAGUUGUAUAGUGUGUGAAAAACGGUUUUGUGAAAAUUAUCAUUUAAAAGAACAUGGAAGAUUACAUAGUGGGGAGAAACCUUACAGUUGUACAGUGUGUAGAAAACAGUUUAGACUGAAGAAGCAAUUAAAAGUACAUGAAAGAAUACACAGUGGGGAGAAACAUUACAACUGUACAGAUUGCACAAACAGUUUGUAACAAAGAGUGCUUUAAAAAUACAUGAAAGUACACACACUGAGGAAAAACUGUAUUAUCUGCUUGGGAAAAAAGGAGAAUCCUUAUAGUUGUACAAUGUGUGAAAAAGACUGAAUAAAGUAGUUCCUUAACAUAUGAAUGUAUACAAAAUUAAUAGAAACCCUGAAGUUGUGAGUUUUGUAGAAAGCUAUUUCAUAAUAACUCUUAACUUAACAAAACAUGAAGGGAAUAUAUACUGGGGUGAGACCUUACAGUUGUGUAGUACGUAAUAAAGAGUUUAGAAGAAAUAGUGUUUUAAAAUAUCAUAAAGGAAUACAUACUGUAGAGAUAACUUACAGUUUUUCAGUUUAUUGAAAAAGUUUGCAACAAAAGAUAGAUUAAAAAUACUUGAUAGAAAACAUACUGUUGUCUUGUGUGUUGUGAAUAACUUAUAACAAACAGUAACUACUAUUGAAUGUGGUAGUUGUUUAUAAGUUGUUGAACCACAAGAGACAGGAUUAAAGUGUACAGAUCUAUCUUUGGUGUGUUUUUGAUGUCUGUAAUUUGGAAUUAUUCUGUGUUAGUGUUGAUAACAACAGAAAAUUUAACAAAUCAUUAGAACCAGUAUCUGUAUAUUAAUAUUCCAGUACAUACUGAGAAUGUGCUGCUAUGAUUGAUUUUCAUGGAUUUGAAUAAACACUUACAGACUUCUGG